rnacentral:rRNA from 1 species
UACGGGAGGCAGCAGUAGGGAAUCUUUCACAAUGGGCGAAAGCCCGAUGGAGCAACGCCGCGUGCAGGAUGACGGCCUUCGGGUUGUAAACUGCUUUUAAAAUCGAGAAAUAUGAUGGUAGAUUUUGAAUAAGGACCGGCUAACUACGUGCCAGCAGCCGCGGUAAU